rnacentral:rRNA from 1 species
AAGCGUAGCGAUACGUGGAGCUGACGAAUACUAAUCGAUCGAAGACUUAAUCAAUUU